UACGUAGGGGGCAAGCGUUGUCCGGAAUCAUUGGGCGUAAAGAGCGUGUAGGCGGCUCGGUAAGUCCGCUGUGAAAGUCCGGGGCUCAACCUCGGAUCGGCCGUGGCGACUCGUGGGCUGGAGCACUGUAGAGGCGGGUGGAAUUCCGGGUGUAGCGGUGGAAUGCGUAGAGAUCCGGAAGAACACCAGUGGCGAAGGCGGCCCGCUGGGCAGUGGCUGACGCUGAGGCGCGACAGCUAGGGGAGCAAACAGG
rnacentral:rRNA from 1 species